ACGCUGGCGGCGCGCCUAACACAUGCAAGUCGAACGGACAUACAGAGCUUGCUCUGUAAGUUAGUGGCGGACGGGUGAGUAACACGUGAGCAACCUGCCUUUCAGAGGGGGACAACAGUUGGAAACGACUGCUAAUACCGCAUAACGUCAUAGGGUGGCAUCAUCUGAUGACCAAAGAUUUAUCGCUGAAAGAUGGGCUCGCGUCUGAUUAGAUAGUUGGUGAGGUAACGGCCCACCAAGUCGACGAUCAGUAGCCGGACUGAGGGGUUGAACGGCCACAUUGGGACUGAGACACGGCCCAGACUCCUACGGGAGGCAGCAGUGGGGGAUAUUGGACAAUGGGGGCAACCCUGAUCCAGCGACGCCGCGUGAGGGAAGAAGGUUUUCGGAUUGUAAACCUCUGUUGACAGGGAAGAAAAUGACGGUACCUGUUUAGAAAGCCACGGCUAACUACGUGCCAGCAGCCGC
rnacentral:rRNA from 1 species